rnacentral:lncRNA from 1 species
GAUUCACUCUUCCUGUUUACUUUUGGAAUACUCUCCAAAUCCAUAAGCAAAAGAGUUGAAUAGAAGAAGGAGAGAGGAAGAAAAAGAAUAAAAGAAAAAAGAAGACAGGAGAGAGGAAGAAGAAGGAAAAUGAUUAAUGUCCUGUUAUCCCCACCUGCAAACCUGGCUGGAGUUGAUAACAAAACCUUUACUGCUGUUCUCUGGUAGCCUUUUCUAUGUGCCAUAGGGAUGUGGUUUCUGAAGGAAAUGAGUUCUAGGUUUUUCUCACAAAUAUCCAAAAGUAGAACAGUGGGGAUCUUGACUACUAAUCACCCCACAUAACAACAGGACCACAGUGGUGGAAUGUGGCUAAUGGGACUAGAAUCUUCUGCUUACUCAUUCGCUUUGGGAAUUAAAUUGUUCUUAGACUUGGUAUGCUGGUGGACUAAAUGUUUUAAUAAAAACAGCCACGAGACACCAGUUUUCUUUGCAAAGGCUUUUCCUUCUAACCACUCUGAAUAUAUUGCUGAGAGGUUCCUGCUUCUGGAAGACCAUCUGUGAGGCGCUUAGACUUACCUGAAAUUUCAGGGCACUAUGUCAGCCAGUUCCUUCACAGUGGUGUGUCUGGCGCCUGAACAAGGACUUGGUGGGCCAGACACAUUUAAAAUGUAAAAGGAGAUUAUAAUAUUAUUUUGCAUUGCAACAGUUAGAGUAUUUCUGGCUAGUUGCUGACAAGUCGAUCAUAAUAACCAUGCGUGGUGCAACAAACCACACGGCACUGUAUCAGAAGCUUAGAGUUACUAUCUUCAAAUGACCCAGAGAUUUUUUUGAAAAAGAGAAAUGGUGGAUGCUUUUUUCCCCCAUUCAGUAAGCAUAUAUUGAAUGCCUAUUGUCAGUGAUGGCCUCUUUAUUCACAGAAGGGAGCUGGGCUAUGCCAGACUCUCACCAUGUUCUUUCCUCUUUAACACUGAACAAAAUAUCAGUAAAACACCAAGUACUACAGCUUUUUUUGAACCUGAUAGGCAAUCAGUAUGUAGUAACUGGCCAUGCUGAUGAGAGUAGGAACUGGUGAUACUGAUAGCAAUGGGAAUGCAUUCCUCACAAAGGCACAGCAGUUUAAGAACAUUUCAGGGACAAUUCGGGGCGGGGGCGGUAAAUGAGCAGAUCUGGUCUGACCUAUUUACAUGUUCCAACAAAUGUCUAGAACUCUAGAUACCUUGAAAAAUCUGAGAACAUGAUCAUGCCAUUUUUAUGGGGAUGACAGAAUUCUUACGGAAAAGACUUGUAUAUGUUUAUCUAGUGAGCUUCUCUAUUUGUAGAAUACUCAGAAUACCUCUGAGAACCCAUCUUAAUUUUUAGAAUCAUUUAUAAGAAUCUGACAACUUAUUAUUAUAAAAUAAACUUCAAAGCAAUUACUUGAGAAGCUUGUUGACAAUCAAGAUACACAAAGUCCUGUCAGUGGGAUAAGGCAAAGUUAGAGUUCUCUAAAAUGGUUACAGAGAAGUGGGAAAAUGACAGAGUGGUUUGGCUGGAAGGCAUCUGACUAUAAAUCAGAAGAUCUAGGCCCCCAGCCAUAUGUGGCAACUGUUGCAUGAUCUUACAAGUCAUCAAACCUCUCCUGAGUCUCACUUUUCUCAUGUGUAAAAUGGGAGUGUUGGAUUAGGUGGUCUUUAAGAGUCUCUCUAGUUAUAACAUUUGAUGAUUUUAAAGUAAGAAAAGACCACAGAAUAAUUCCCUCUAAUUUGGUAAACACGUUGCUUUCUCCUGAGCUGUGUCUAUGUGGUUUGCAUUGGGUUUUAUGUUUCUGGGCUCUAGAAGUCACAUAGUAAAUAUUCGAGUCAUUCUUCCUUCUAUACAUGGGAAAAUUAGAAGAGAAUAAUUCUUCCUUUCUUUCUAUGUCAAUCUCUGUUUUCCAAUCAGACUUACAAGCUUAAGAUAAGGACACAAUCAUUCUGUUACUGACGAAGGCUCUUCCUCAUCUUUGUCACAGGCCCUUACUCAUGCUCAUGCAAGCUUAUCUGAUUGGGUUAUUUCUGUAUUUAUGUCCUGGCUAUUUUUUCUCUUUCAACUUGUUUAUGAAAUCCCUGGUAAGCAUAAAGCCGCAAAAACAAAAACAAAUAAAACAAAACAGCUCUGUUUGAAUAAUUUUCUUCAGUAAAGGCAGUAUAAGAAAACAUUCUAACACUCAGGGAAAAAAAAUCUUUUAAAAAUACUCCUAUAUCUUAGAAAAGAUGAAAUAAAAUGUUAUAUCAAUGAUAGUUUCAUACGUUGUUACUGCUUUUCAUUUUCCAAGAGAAUGUUACAUAUUGAGUUUAUAGUCUGGUGUGCAGAUGUGGAUAUUUCUCCCAAUAUUUCUCAGGCCACUGCAUCCUUGAAGCCAAGAAGGCCCAGAGCUUGCUGAGGUAGCUUUACACGGACAAAGGAACUACACAAAAAACCCAAUACCUGGAGCUUAUAUCGUAUACUGACUAGGCACUCCCGUCACUCAUGACUCACUCUUUCCCAUCUCUGUCCUGUUCCUCUACUGAUUUCAUUCUCUUCACCUAGAAUGCCCUCCGUUUGCCUCCCUUUACGGCUCAAAAUGUCCCCUAUCUUUCAAGACCCACCUAGCUCAAGCCCCAUCUCCAAGAAGCAACUUAAGUUGACCCAUCUUAGGACCCAGUGAUAAUUUUCAUGGCUAGAAAGCGUUCAUUAGCCCUUGUGAUAACUGGAGUCACUUACAACACAUAUCUAGCACGUGCUCAGAGAACACUGGGGAAAAAGAUUGUGAAGAGUGGCAGGGUCCUUGUAAAACGGAAAAAAAAAAAACGCUAGCUUUAAGAAUAGGCCCAAUAUAGUAGCUGCGGUACAUGAGAGAAAAGUUGUAGCUUUGUAAAGAAAAGUUGUAGCCUUGUACAGAGGGAUUAUUUUAGAAUGGCCUGACUUUGCGCUUUUUUUUUUAACAAAGGAAAAGAGAUAUAAUAUCUUAAAAGAAGGAGUUAAGACAUUGAAUAUGGCAACAUACAGUCUUCUAAAGUUCAAAAAUAUUAAUUAUGAAGCUAAAAUGUCAAGAUUUUACUAGGAACACUACGGAGCACAGCUGAAACAGGCAAAGACAGAGGUAUGGGCAUAGAAUCUGAAUUUCACCUACCCUGAGUCCCCCUCAGUCUGAUGGCUCUGCCAUGCAUUGUGAUAAACCCCGACAGUGCUUAGCUGGGCUGAAGCGAUGGCCCGUGGUAUAUUCUGAUAGUGAAAGAUAGAAUGACGCUCAGAAAUGCUGGAUGCUGUUAGAUAUGUAUAUGAUUUUAUUUAUGUGUAUAUUUUUAUAUCUAUAUAUACAAACAUAUAUAUUUGUAUGAUGUUUGGCAACCUCACUCAUGGUAUUCCUGUGAAGGAGGCAUGUGGUAAACAUAAUUAGCCCAUUAAACAGAUGGUAUGGCUCUGGCAUAGCUCACUAUAUUCUAAAAUGGUGGAGCUGUGAGCAGGGGCUGAAGACAGAGUGCAGUCUGAUACACGGUUAACUGCGAAUCUCUGUGAAUUGCUGCUUUCUAAAGACAAUCUGGGUAGGCUACACUUGGCUGAGAAUUGGCGAUGGUUUGGGAAGCUUUAAAAAUAUACAAGGGGACAACGUUCACAUUCAUUCAGAUAUAGUAUCUUCAUUUUUACUUACUAGAGACAUUUUUUGAAAAAUAGCUUUUUAUCUUAACUCAUCUGUGUUCCAAGCAAACUCCCAAAUUGCUGAGCAGAUUAAAAAAAAAAACCCUACAUGCCAAGUAGAAACACUGGGUACAUUUUUUUUAAUUGUCUUAACAAAGUGCACUAUUGGAAAGGAUAAAGUUGAAAGAGGUUUGGUACCACACACAUAAACUCAUAGUCAUUGUAGAGUUCUGCAUGAGGUGCCAUUUUACCUGGCUGGAUUGUGUAUGCUGUGGCAUUGCCACUCCAUGGUACGGCUGGCUUCACCGAACCUGAAAUUAAAUAUUGUAGCCCAAUUCUUUUUUUUUUUUUCGUGAGGAAGAUUAGCUCUGGGCUAACAUCCAUUGCCAAUCUUCCUCUUUUUUUGCUUGAGGGAGAUUAGCCCUCAGCUAACAUUCAUGCCAUCUUCCUCAACUUUGUAUAUGGGAUGCCUCCACAGCAUGGCUGAUGAGUGGAGUAGGUCCACACCGGGGAUCCGAACCCCAGCACUGGGCCUCCGUAGCAGAGCGUACGAAACUUUAACCACUCAGCUCUGGGGCCGGUGCCUCUAGCCCACUUCUUUGUCAGCUGAAACAGGGGCUAGCAGAAGUGAAAGGGUUACUAAAAGUUAAGACUUGAAUUUACAAAUGUAUUUGAACUGGCUUCCAGAAGACAUGAAACAUCAAUACAUCUGGAGAGGAGAACUUGCAAUUGACUGUUCUUUAGCAUCUGGUCUCAAGAACAUUUGCUGCUUGGAAGUUGCAUAAGCAGUGAAAAAACACACAAACAGCUUCCUGUACCAUGCUUUUGGUCACUUAUAAUGACGCAUUACAAAGUAAAACAGCUAAAUGUGAGCAACUGUGCCUUACUCCAGAUGACAACAUACGUUAUAUAACUAAGAUCAAUGACAGAGGACAUCUUUAUUUUAAGAGAUCUAGACUUGAAAAAAUAGUCAAAAAUAAAUAUCCUUCCUUCCAAGGUGUUUGUCUCGAGUAAUUUUGGCUAGAUUUGUUUUUAAUGUCCCUGAAAAACCACUUCUAAUUUUUUCCAAAUUAAAAAAAGAACAACAAAAAAAGCCAUCCUGGGGAAUGAAAUGUUCCAUAUAUAAUUUUUUUAAUGACAUAAACUUGCCACUUUAAGUAAUAAAAUAUGUUUUACACUUUUUUAAUAGAAAACUUUAAUAUAUCCUUGUUUGCUUAAACUGAGCAUGCUGAUAUCAUUUAUAUUUUUUUCUUAUGAAACAGGGUCAUCCUUGUGAACGCUCACUCCUCCUGUUCUUCAAUAAUACAUUUUAUUUUUCUUGAGAAUCAGACUCGUCCCUCAGCUCUCAGUCUAACGGCCACAAGCUGAGCUGCAGCCCACUGGUCACUGCCAUAGCUCAGGGGUGUCACCGUCCCAGUUUUUAAGAGCCAUCUCCUUCCAACCUUAAAUGCUAGGUAUAUUUUCUUGUCUGCUUUGGAUUGGAAAACCAGAAAAAUGAGUGCUGUAAAGACAAGAUUGCUUGGAAGCGAGGUUUAGUCAGAGACUUUGGGACACUCAUUUGCAUGUCUGCAGGUCUUCGUUUCUUUCUUUCUGUUGGAAUUCAGACUCUGAAUUGUCAGAAACCAGACUUCAAAGUAUUAUUGUAUAACACAGAGUGUGACUUUUAUGCUGUUUUAUUGCAGGGGUUCUUAUUUUCAAAGAGGUUGCCCAGAAAGCCAUUCUUGAUUACUUUAUUUGUAGGGCUCUGAUCCAUUCCAUCUCACCUCCUGAUUUCCGCAGGCAACGUAACUAACAUGAUAACUUCGAGAAAUAAUAGCACAUUUUUUAGGAUAAGGUGAGAGAUUCUUGCUAAUUGCCUUCAUCAUAGGGAUGGGAGCAAAAGUAUAUAGUCAAAUUAGAAAAUUUCUCUCUUCGGCCAAUUUUUCUCUAGAUUUUGAACAGGACUCUGGCCUAACUGGACAUUAGGAAAAAAAUUAAAAGUAUUGUGAAGCUAUUUAUAUUAAUUUAAGUGUUCAGAAAAGUAAUAUCCGAGCAUCUUUUCUCCCUUGCCCCAAAAGGAGAAAUCAGUAUAAUUCACAACCUGUGGUAGUCAGGAUAGGGAUUACGUUGCAAUUUACCUUUUCCCUCUCUCUGAAAAUAGGAUUUCUAAGCAAACUAAUAGUGUUAAGAUUUUUGAGGGGAGGGAGCAAGGAGAACCAUGUUUAACCUAUAAGAGGGGGAAAGAAAACUUUUAAAAUAUUUUAAAAUACACAUAUCUGAUAAGCUACUGAUAAUUCUUAUUUAUUUUGAAGCCUCUGCUCAAGAAACUCUUACUUAUUAACACUUGGAAAUCUCAGUUCAAACUACAUACAAAUAUUCUAUGAUUCAUACUUUCAGCUAAUUCAGUUUGGUUGUCUCUUUCCCAGUUCGUCUGAACUGGUGAAAUUUUACAAAAUAAGCAUGGGUAGCUUCCUAGAGUUACAUUUUUACUUGUUUAUUUGUUAAUUUUUGUAACAUGUUUAUGUGACAAAAAAAAGUAAGUGCUAGGUCUACUUGUUAUAGAUUAUUUUUGGACAAAGAGAGUUUGCAAGAAACUGUCGGUUUUACAGCAGCCAAGUUACUGGGGACUAAAGCAGAAGUUCAGGAAUAGACUGGUCUUCAACCAGUUUUCCACAACAGCAUCUGCGGACAUGGUUAAUGAGUUCUGAAAUUCAUUCACAUGGCUAAUCUUUUAGGAAUCUCAUAACCUUGCCUGACCUUUCCAUAAUCACGAGAGAAAAACCUUGGCAAAAUUAGAACCAGUCGUCAGGUCCUGUUUUCCUUUCUUCUACUCAUUUUCUUUCUUUCUUUUUUUUUGGUAUUGGAACAAUCAAAAGACUCCACGUUUUUAAAUUCCUUGGAAGACUAACGAUUGAAUAAUUUUCUCACUCUCUGUUUGCACUUUCACAGUCUGGUUGCAUUGAUUUGUGUCUCAUAAGUAGAUAUUUCCUUUGCUGGUUACAAAUCAAUGCUAUAGAACAAACCUGCCAGCACAUUCCCAUCUCCCCACCACCCUCACCUCCCUGCAGUUUGAAAAACAGAGCGCAGUUUUCUUUUAAAAAAUUAGUUUCAUUGGUUGGUAACAUACUAAAAGAAGAGAAAGCCCAAGAGUUUAAAAAAAAAAAAAAUCCGUGGGAAAAGGAGCGCCUCCCAAGUGGGUCUCUGCUGCUUUCUCAGCGCCUGGAGCAGAGGACCGCUUAGUGGGAGAGCAGCGCUCGUCUGCCCUCCGCUUCCGGUGUGUGCUCUGUUAACCCAACUAAGGUCCUCACCUUCAUACAUCACAAGGCUGCCCAAAGCCACACACUGUGAUGUCACAGUCAGAUAUGAUUUCAUGGCCGGAAAAAACAAAAAGGCAGAAAAGGUUGAAUGUAUUUUCCUUUUAUUCAAAUCUUCUAAGAGGGGGCAAAAGGGAAGAUGAUUUUUUUUUUCCCUAAGAGAAAAAGAGGACAAGCUUUCUCCCGUGAAUGUGAAAACUCCAUUCUGAAGAUUCCCCGGUGCUGUUACCCCAAGUGGAUAAGCACGAAUAAAGAAGCACAAAGAAGUACCCUCAUCAAUCCCAAUGCUCUCGCCACCGCUCAGCUACAGGUAGAGAGCAAGCAGGCACCAUUUGAUUUACCUAGAUUAAAAGAGCAAUUUUCCGUCCUCUUUUUUUCCUUUUAAAAAUAGCCAAUCGAUUUUGGCCUCGCUAUGGCUGACUGUACCAGGGCCAUUUUGAUACAUCGCUGAUUAAAUAGUGUGCUCAUGGCUGAAGGCAUGACAGCAGGAACAGGCAGAAGCUGCCGAAGGAAUGGGGAUGGGAGACCACAGGCCCCAGCUCCAGAAAGCCUGCUGGCUGACACUGCAGCGGAUGCUCCACGAGGGCCCGACCGCCAGCCCUUCGCCAGCGGACUGCCGAUAGCACAUUCUAGACUUGAACUUGGUGGACUAUGAUUCUGGGAGUUUGAAGCCUGCAAUUCAUUUAGCUUUUUAAUUCUGACCUUAAGAAUGAGAGAAAAAAAAUCAAAGUCCUUUGAUUUUUUAAAAAAUACGGAUGGGGGAAAUAUUGCCUCCUAAAUUGCAACGACAGCUGAACUGAAGAUGGGAAUUUGCUUCUCAGGAACAAGCCUAUUUAACUGUUUUUUAUGAAACAGUUACAUUUUCAUCAGUUACAGAGUUAGAGUCUUCUACCAAAAGGGGAUCUAGUCGUUUAGAGACCUUGGUUGCACAAAAAAUUGCACAAAAAAGAAACACAGAAACGAAACAGGUCUUUUAUAGACGGUGACUCUAUGUUGGGAUUCAUCCGCAGCCCUCAGAAAAGUGAGACGGUCUCCACCAGCUCUGGGAAGUAACCAUCUUGAUUACUACGAGAAAGUACAACCUUCACCGAAGUCUGUGUGGCUGGAAAAAUAUCCUAGGGAGGGGCGCUCAGGCCACUCUUCUAGAGCCCCAGCAUCCACAGACGUUUCUUCAGAAAAACGCAGAGUCCACCCGACAGGUGAGGCUGUCGUGCCACAAUGGAUCUGAGGACACGGGAAAUGCAUCUGGGAAUUAGUGAAAUCCAUUUUUAAAAAGUGAACCUACUUUAGUUUUUUUUUUUUUCUUUCAUCUACUGCUUCCUCUCUCCCUUUUGUUCUUUCCCAUUAUUGUUUACUUAAUUUGAAUCCUGGCCUUCACGGGGAUGGAACUGUAUCCAGAGGUACUAUUAAGAACCUGGCCAAGUAUAGAUGCAGAGGGUGAAACCCAAUCGCAGAGCGCUGACAGAGCUCCUCUUAUGGCCUGCAGAACAGAUCUACCGAGUCCUACACCUCCUGGCCAGCAGUGACAAGGAUGUGCAGAAUGGAUUAAUGAGUUCUUGUUUUUGGCCCUUGUUUAACUCAAAAACUCGUUUCAACUUAAAUAAAUUAAACCCUUUAGGUCCAGAAGGGGGUUAAGGAGUGUAUAAGGUGAGCUGGAACCUGGAAUUUCUGUCAGCUCACUACACACGUUCGCCAAAUGGUCAAGUCCUCACUUUAAACCCCAGCAAGACAAGAUAAGCUCUGUCUGCCCAGCAGCCUUCCAGAGGCAUUAAGGGUAAGAGAGAAGGAAGGAUGGCUGGGUAAAAAAAAUGGAGAGAAAUGAAAGACUAACUACUUCUAGCUUAGACCACUGCAUCUUCUGCUGACACUGUGGCUUUCCUACCUUUUCCCGGGGAUUUCUCGCAAUGAGGUUCAAAGCACACCUGGCAGCCACUCUGAGACAACAAAGGGCAGAGGCUCUUUGGAGCUGCGGCUGUCGCUUCUCUGGUGUCAAAGAUCAAACCUCGUGGCAGUGAAGUAGGACCUUAUGUAAUCACCAGUGAGAGCUUUGUAAAAGCCAUUUCAGUCUGGCGUGUGAAGAACACACAGCAAGAAGAACGUGGGGAGCAUCUGAAAGAAGAGUACAGCGGUAGAGGCUGCGUGGUCAUUUUGGUGAUCAAGAAGCACCAGCCAGGGGAGAGGUUAUUGUUUGAAUGCCAGUGUGAUUCAGAGAGAGGGCCAGGACACACAAUAUUCACAAGGAGCUGAGAGGAAGAAGUGUCCAGAGCCAUAAAGUCACCAGGGACACACCCAAAGGCAGCUGCUGUGAUGCAGACCUUGAGAGUUAAUUGUUCAUUCAAAGAGGAUUGUGAAACUCAAAUGUAAGAGGAGAAGAUGAUAAUCCAAACAGCACAAUUCUGGGUCUUUUUCUUCUUGUAAAAGGAAGAAAAAAAAAAAAGGAGAGAGAAAAAAGAAAACAAUACCCAGAAAUACUGUACCAUACUGGCAGUUUACUCUCUCUUUCUUGAACCAAAUCAGCAUGUUAAUGACAUAAAAACUUACUUUCCUUAUGGGGACAAUCAGGCUCUAUCACACACAACAUUAAAUACGCGGGUUUUAAAAGGAAAAACAAACCAAAUCACCAGAAACACCUCACUCUGGCAAUGGUGAGGUUGGCCAAAGCAGACUGUGUCCUUAAUGUCCAGCACAACCUGUGAAUCCAGAAAAGCAUCUAUGAAGCUAGACUGGAACUAUCAGGCCUCAUUUCCACCAAAGAGGAGUUCCCUUAAGGAUUCCGGAAGGGGGGAUCUGGAGGAGCUUUCAGUCUCUUUUUUGGAAUGACAGAACCAGGGCAGGCUCCUCUGGGGGUCAGGUCGGCCCCACCAUGCGGAGUCCCUGUGUCUAAAUGAUAAGUAAUCGAAAUGAAAAGACACUAUUUCAAUGGCUGCCCUGAAAGAGUCUUAAAAGCAAAUAAACAAGUCCCCAG